rnacentral:rRNA from 1 species
GGGAGGUAGUGACAAUAAAUAACAAUACGGGGCUCUUUAGGGUCUCGUAAUUGGAAUGAGUACAAUUUAAAUCCCUUAACGAGGAACAAUUGGAGGGCAAGUCUGGUGCCAGCAGCCGCGGUAAUUCCAGCUCCAAUAGCGUAUAUUAAAGUUGUUGCAGUUAAAAAGCUCGUAGUUGAAUUUCGGGAUUGACGUGAUGGUCGUGCCUUACGGGGUAUGAACUGUCGCAGUUGAUUCUCACCUUCUGGAGAAGCUCGAUGUCCUUAAUUGGGUGUCUUGCGGAACCAGGACCUUUACCUUGAAAAAUUAGAGUGUUUAAAGCAGGCAUUUUUGCUUGAAUACAUUAGCAUGGAAUAAUAAAAUAGGACGGCAUGGUUCUAUUUUGUUGGUUUCUAGGACCACCGUAAUGAUUAAUAGGGAUAGUUGGG